GCCGGCGUAGCUCAGUGGCAGAGCAGCUGAUUCGUAAUCAGCAGGUCAUGGGUUCAAGUCCCAUUGCCGGCUCCA
rnacentral:tRNA from 1 species